rnacentral:rRNA from 1 species
GUAGGUGGCAAGCGUUGUCCGGAAUUAUUGGGCGUAAAGCGCGCGCAGGCGGUUCUUUAAGUCUGAUGUGAAAGCCCACGGCUCAACCGUGGAGGGUCAUUGGAAACUGGAGAACUUGAGUACAGAAGAGGAAAGCGGAAUUCCACGUGUAGCGGUGAAAUGCGUAGAGAUGUGGAGGAACACCAGUGGCGAAGGCGGCUUUCUGGUCUGUAACUGACGCUGAGGCGCGAAAGCGUGGGGAGCAAACAGGAUUAGAUACCCUGGUAGUCCACGCCGUAAACGAUGAGUGCUAAGUGUUAGGGGGGUUUUCCGCCCCCCUUAGUGCUGCAGCUAACGCAUUAAGCACCCCCGCCUGGGGAGUACGGCCGCAAGGCUG